rnacentral:rRNA from 1 species
UACGGAGGGUGCGAGCGUUGUCCGGAAUCAUUGGGCGUAAAGGGCGCGUAGGUGGCCCGGUCAGCGUGCGGUGAAAGCUCGGGGCUCAACCCCGAGUCGGCCGUGCGAACUGCUGGGCUGGAGCACUGUAGAGGCAGGCGGAAUUCCGGGUGUAGCGGUGGAAUGCGUAGAGAUCCGGAAGAACACCGGUGGCGAAGGCGGAUCUCUGGGCCAUUACUGACGCUGAGGAGCGAAAGCGUGGGGAGCGAACAGG